rnacentral:rRNA from 1 species
UGCACUUACAAGCUGUGGAAGCACAUUUCUUGUGUGACCGCGUACUUUUUGUAGAACGGGCCAACGAGUUACGUUAAGUAGCAAGGUUAAGCACUUAAGGUGUGGAGCCGUAGCGAAAGCGAGUUUUAACUGAGCGUUCAGUUACUUGACGUAGACCCGAAACCGGGCGACCUACCCAUGAGCAGGAUGAAGCGAAAGUAAAAUUUCGUGGAGGUCCGAACCCACGAGCGUUGAAAAGCUCGGGGAUGACUUGUGGGUAGCGGUGAAAUUCCAAUCGAGCCCGGAGAUAGCUGGUUCUCCCCGAAAUA